UACGUAGGGGGCAAGCGUUGUCCGGAAUUAUUGGGCGUAAAGAGCGUGUAGGCGGCCAGAUAAGUCCGCUGUGAAAUCUCGAGGCUCAACUUCGAGCUGUCGGUGGAAACUAUCUGGCUAGAGUCCGGAAGAGGAGAAUGGAAUUCCUGGUGUAGCGGUGAAAUGCGCAGAUAUCAGGAAGAACACCCGUGGCGAAGGCGGUUCUCUGGGACGGUACUGACGCUGAGACGCGAAAAGCGUGGGGGAGCGAACAGG
rnacentral:rRNA from 1 species